rnacentral:rRNA from 1 species
CAGCCGCCACGGUAAUACGUAGGGUGCGAGCGUUGUCCGGAAUUACUGGGCGUAAAGGGCUCGUAGGUGGUUUGUCGCGUCGUCUGUGAAAUUCUGGGGCUUAACUCUGGGCGUGCAGGCGAUACGGGCAUAACUUGAGUGCUGUAGGGGUAACUGGAAUUCCUGGUGUAGCGGUGAAAUGCGCAGAUAUCAGGAGGAACACCGAUGGCGAAGGCAGGUUACUGGGCAGUUACUGACGCUGAGGAGCGAAAGCAUGGGUAGCGAACAGGAUUAGAUACCCCGGUAGUCCCUGUCUCUUAUA